rnacentral:lncRNA from 1 species
GCCGAUCCAUAUAAAACAUGACCUCCACACUUUCUGGGCGAAGGGGCAUUCUAAGAAGAUGUGUUGGCAGGAUUCCUCCUUUGUUUGACAAAACUCACAUAAGAUUGUGUUAAGCAACACUCCUCUCCUCCUCAAAUCAACUCUGGUUGGGAUCCUACCUAGGAGGACUCUCCAAGCAGUUGUUAUUGUAUUGGGGAAGGCUUUGAUUCUCCACAGAUGCUCAAAAACUUC